CACUUUUAUUUUAGUGCGGUGUGUACUUGUUUGAUACAACCCCAUUUUAGCAGAAUUUAAGGGGGGUGUAUGUAACAUAGUUAAAAUGGUUCAGGUUAAAUCCUGCUAAAAUGCACCAUCUGCUGGUAAAAAGUCGUAUUGUAUUCACCUUAGAAAGAGCGGGGUAUUAUGGGUAAUCCUCAGAGUCAUGAGGAUCAUUGACGAGGUAACGUGUCUCUGCUGUGAUAAAGAAAUAUUAUUCAUGCAUUUUAUAAAAUAUGUUUAUGGUUUCUGUUUUCUUGCAUAUUAUUGAAAUAUGUUUAAUCCAGGUCACGCCAGUUCUGCUAUUAUAUUGUUUUGUCGUGUUUAAGAAUCGUUUAGUUUGUGAGAAAGUGUGAUGGGAAUUUCCCACGCGGUAACACUAUGGCUCCUCCUUGCAGGAGCUUGUUUAUGCCAGAGACUGACCUUAUCUCGAUGCCCAUUGUGUGAAAUGCAGGUUCUGUGCAGACCCGCUGAGUCCAGACAUAGCUUGGUGAAGACUGUGACAUCUCCACUUCCCUCGGCCUCACUGCAACUGCCUUCAUCCAAUUUACCAUGAAAGGAGUCCAGACAGCCCCAUAAUAUGACCUGCAGCUGCUUCAAUUGAGCAUGGUCGACAACUCUGGGCCCAGGCUUUACACAAUAACCAGCUGGCUAUCUACAGAGGCCGUUUGGCAGCCUGCUACCCUUUGAUAAGGUCCACUGCCCAGGGACAGAGUGGAUAGGUCCAUAUGGCAGCAUUUCGUAGUAAACAGUGCCCCCUGGUGGCCUGGGGAACAAAGCACAUUUCUUGUGCCAAAUGAGUGAUAAACAUCCGAAAUCUGAGUGUAGUCAGGUGGUGGCUGCAGUGCUGGACACAGACGGCAGCAAUGUUUCCUCUUAAAUUUUAUGCAGCAGCAGUGCCUAGUGUAUUUUCUGCUGUUGUGGUUCCACGCGUGGUGUCGCGUCAGUCACAGUUAUCUUUCCACAGCAGGCGGCUGCACUGAGCCUAUUUAUUUUCUUCAGAUACUUUAUCACAGUGGAAGCAUGAUUUGUCAAAGCUUUGGAUGUGUAUGUUUGGAGGAAGGACAGAGGACGAAAAGAAAAAAAUGAAGCUAUUUUUGUCAGGAUGCGUCAUUUUCAAGCCUCACAGGCAUUCAUUUUCUUUUUAGGAAAAUACAAUGAAUUCAGAUGUGCAAAUAUCCAGUUUUACCUGCAGACUGGCAAUGACUAACUUGCUACAUUUGUUCACACAGUAUUGUAUCAGCUGAGAAGAAAAUAAAAUGACUAAAAUGACUUUAAAACAUUUUAAAACUGUCAUCCAGAUUUGUAACCGUUCAACAUUUUUACAUUUUGUCACAUUACAGCAACAAACUUUAUUGGAUUUUUAUUGAGAUUUUGUGUGGUUGAACGCAAAGUAGUUGUUAAUUAUGAUACACAGUUUGAUAAAUAAAUUAAAAUUUAUAAC